rnacentral:rRNA from 1 species
GACGUAGGGCGCGAGCGUUUGUCCGGAUUUAUUGGGCGUAAAGAGCUCGUAGGCGGCUUGUCGCGUCGACUGUGAAAUCCCGCGGCUCAACUGCGGGUCUGCAGUCGAUACGGGCAGGCGUAGAGUUCGGUAGGGGAGAUUGGAAUUCCUGGUGUAGCGGUGAAAUGCGCAGAUAUCAGGAGGAACACCGAUGGCGAAGGCAGGUCUCUGGGCAUUAACUGACGCUGAGGAGCGAAAGCAUGGGGGAGCGAACAGG